rnacentral:rRNA from 1 species
GACGAACCGUACGAACGUUAUUCGGAAUUACUGGGCUUAAAGGGUGCGUAGGCGGCGCAGUAAGUUGGGUGUGAAAUCCCUCGCUUAACCGAGGAAUUGCGCCCAAAACUACUGUGCUCGAGGGAGGUAGAGGUGAGCGGAACUUAGGGUGGAGCGGUGAAAUGCGUUGAUAUCCUAAGAAACACCGGUGGCGAAAGCGGCUCACUGGACCUCUUCUGACGCUGAGGCACGAAAGCUAGGGUAGCAAACGGG